GCUAUUGGAGUUCGAUUAAGCCAUGCGAGUCGAGAGUCUUAGGGACUCGGCGUACCGCUCAGUAACACGUGGGUAACCUGCCCUAUGCUGGGGAAUAACCUCGGGAAACUGAGAAUAAUGCCCCAUAGUCCACAAUGCCUGGAACGGUUUGUGGAUCAAAGCUCCGGCGGCAUAGGAUGGGCCUGCGGCGUAUCAGGUUGUAGGGGGUGUAACGUACCCUCUAGCCAUCAACGCGUACGGGUGUUGGGAGACAUAGCCCGGAGAUGGAUUCUGAGACACGAAUCCAGACCCUACGGGGUGCAGCAGGCGCGAAAACUUGGCAAUGCGAGAAAUCGUGACCAGGGAACUCCAAGUGGCUGGGGUAAGACCCAGUCUUUUCUUGACUCUUCAAAGGUCUUGGAAUAAGGGGUGGGUAAGGACGGUGCCAGCCGCCGCGGUAAUACCGGCGCCUCAAGUGGUAGUCGAUUUUAUUGGGCCUAAAACGUCCGUAGCCUGUUUGGUACAUUCGUGGGUAAAUCAACCAGCUCAACUGGUUGAAUUCUGCGAGCACGGCCAGACUUGGGACCGGGAGAGGUGUGGGGUACGCUCAGGGUAGGGGUAAAAUCCUGUCAUCCUGAGCGGACCACCUGUUGCGAAGGCGCCACACUAGAACGGAUCCGACGGUCAGGGACGAAGCCUAGGGGCACGAACCGGAUUAGAUACCCGGGUAGUCCCAGGUGUAAACGCUGUGGACUUGGUGUUGGGGACUCUCCGAGAUUCCUCAGUGCCGAAGCGAAGGUGAUAAGUCCACUGCCUGGGGAGUACGGUCGCAAGGCUGAAACUUAAAGGAAUUGGCGGGGGAGCACCGC
rnacentral:rRNA from 1 species